rnacentral:rRNA from 1 species
UACGUAGGUGGCAAGCGUUGUCCGGAUUUACUGGGCGUAAAGGGCUCGUAGGCGGUUUGUCGCGUCGGCCGUGAAAACUUGGGGCUUAACCCCAAGCCUGCGGUCGAUACGGGCAGACUUGAGUUCGGCAGGGGAGACUGGAAUUCCUGGUGUAGCGGUGAAAUGCGUAGAUAUCAGGAGGAACACCUGCGGUGUAGACGGCUUACUGGACCAUAACUGACGCUGAGGCACGAAAGCGUGGGUAGCAAACAGG